UGGCUCUCGCAUCGAUGAAGAACGCAGCGAAAUGCGAUAAGUAAUGUGAAUUGCAGAUUUUCAGUGAAUCAUCGAAUCUUUGAACGCACCUUGCGCUCCUUGGUAUUCCGAGGAGCAUGCCUGUUUGAGUGUCAUUAAAUUCUCAACCCCUAACGGAUUUGCGUCUGGGAGGGGCUUGGACUUGGAGCGUGCUGGCCUUUGUUGGUCGGCUCCUCUUAAAUGCAUCAGCGGAAAGGUAUUUGCUUUCUGAGCAUCAGUGUGAUAAUAUGUUGCGCUGUUGUUGGAAUGGCAAUGUCCGCUUAGAAUGGUCUUCGGACAAACUUCAUUUGAAACUUGACCUCAAAUCAGGUAGGACUACCCGCUGA
rnacentral:misc_RNA from 1 species